GAUGAACGCUGGCGGCGUGCCUAAUACAUGCAAGUCGAGCGAACAGAUGAGGAGCUUGCUCCUCUGACGUUAGCGGCGGACGGGUGAGUAACACGUGGAUAACCUACCUAUAAGACUGGGAUAACUUCGGGAAACCGGAGCUAAUACCGGAUAAUAUAUUGAACCGCAUGGUUCAAUAGUGAAAGACGGUUUUGCUGUCACUUAUAGAUGGAUCCGCGCCGCAUUAGCUAGUUGGUAAGGUAACGGCUUACCAAGGCAACGAUGCGUAGCCGACCUGAGAGGGUGAGCGGACAGACUGUAAGUGAGGCCCGGUAGAGACGCCGACGGGAGGCAGCAGCACGGAAUCCUCCGCGAUGGGCGAAAGCCUGACGGAGCAAAGCCGGGGGAAUGAUGAUCGUCUUAUGACCCUAAACCUCUGUUGUUAGGGAAGAACAAAAGUGCAAUUAACUAUGAAGAUAAUGACGGUACCUAAACAGAAAGCCACGGCUAGCUACGUG
rnacentral:rRNA from 1 species